GUCCCGGCCCUAAACGGUGCGUGUUUGCUGUAAGAGGAAUCGACCCCUCUUGUGGCGAAGCUAACGCGUUAAACACGCCGCCUGGGGAGUACGGUCGCAAGAUUAAAACUCAAAGAAAUUGACGGGGGCCUGCACAAGCGGUGGAGUAUGUGGCUUAAUUCGAUGCAACGCGAAGAACCUUACCUGGCCUUGACAUGCAUGUGGUAGAACCAUGAAAGUGGGACGACCCCGCAAGGGGAGUAUGCACAGGUGCUGCAUGGCUGUCGU
rnacentral:rRNA from 1 species